UUGAAUCUGAUUGCUGGCUGAUCCGUGUGAUUAACAGGAAGAGGUUGCUAAAGAGUUUAACAUACCAGUUCAAUUCCAGCGCUUUUGGCUAUGGGCAAAGCGGCAAAACCGUACAUAUCGUCCAUAUCAACCGUUGACACCCAUGGAAGAAGCACAAUCUGUCGGACAGUUGAGAGAGGUAUCAAACAAGGUUCACAAUGCAGAGUUGAAAUUGUUUUUGGAAGUGGAGCUCUGGCUGGAUUUACUUCCUAUUGCACCACCUGACAAGACAAAUGAUGAUAUAUAACUUUCCUUCAAGUUAUAUGAUCCUGAGAAAGAGGAGCUACGGUACUGAGUAAUGUCUAUAUUUGAACUUCUGGUUUUGGCAAAACA